CUGGCUCAGGACGAACGCUGGCGGCGUGCCUAAUACAUGCAAGUCGAACGGUCUUUUCUAUGGAAGCUUGCUUCCACUGAGAAGAUAGUGGCGAACGGGUGAGUAACACGUGGGGUAACCUGCCCAUAAGAGGGGGAUAACAUCCGGAAACGGGUGCUAAUACCGCAUAGUUUUCUUGAUUGCAUGAUUGAGAAAGGAAGGACGGCCUUUGUGCUGUCGCUUAUGGAUGGACCCGCGGCGUAUUAGUUAGUUGGUGAGGUAACGGCUCACCAAGACGAUGAUACGUAGCCGACCUGAGAGGGUGAUCGGCCACAUUGGGACUGAGACACGGCCCAAACUCCUACGGGAGGCAGCAGUAGGGAAUCUUCCGCAAUGGACGAAAGUCUGACGGAGCAACGCCGCGUGAGUGAAAGAAGGUUUUCGGAUCGUAAAACUCUGUUGUCAGAGAAGAACAAGUUGGAGAGUAACUGCUCCAGCCUUGACGGUAUCUGACCAGAAAGCCACGGCUAACUACGUGCCAGCCGCGGC
rnacentral:rRNA from 1 species